UUCUGGAAUCUGGCGGCGGCGGCGGCGCCAACCGAUCAGCUGAGCUGGGUUAAAGUUGACAGCGACUGAGGCUCAGCCGGCUCUGCGGUUGCUGUUCAGAUGCCAAUCUAAGUGAAAUGGAACGGAAGGCAACUACAGCGUUCCUGGAAGAUGAGCUGGUUUUGAAAACUAAGUAGUUACUAACCUCUGCACAUCUGAAUGCAAUUCUCAUGUUUGCUCCUUCACUAUGAGUCACUAUGAGUGAAAUCAGAUUGGCAAAACGGGAAAGAAGAACGUGUAACAGAAGGCCUGGCUUGUUAUUUUACCUCUCUCUCUCUCUUUUUUCUCCAUCUCUGUCUUCUCCAGACAAAUUAUUGAACUACUGUGCUAUUCUGAUGCAGUGGGCACUCUGGGUACAUCAACCUUGAGCUGGGAUGUUGUUCACCUUAGAAAGCAAGCAAUGGUUUGCAGUGACCAAUAAUGUAGAGUAAUUGCUUAGAGUUAGAUAUUACUGCUAUUAUUAUUAAUAAUAGUACAGACUAUGAUUCAUCUAUAUGGUAUUAAUAUUAGUGUGUUAACCUGAUUUGUUUUCUGUGGUUUAUAAUGGACGUCCACUGACUUUUCUCUAUCUUGUUGUAAUUUUAUUGUGGUGAUUGUCUCCGAGUGGACUUCAUAGGGGACAAAAAGGUAGAAGAUUUUAGUAUGAUGCCACAAAUAUUUUGAAUCCUUUCACUGCUCUGUGAAAACACUCUGGGGGAUUAAAAAAACAAAAGGUGAAAAGAGUGCAACCUUGCCCUGCCUUCAAGGAUCUUGCAAUGCAGUGCAAAGACUAACUUAAAUAUAUUGCACUAAGAGGAGUGCUGAGUAGAGAUGUCCCAGAACUUAGUACUCAGUUACAGGAAGUUAGAGGGCGUGGAAGAAUCUCCUGGGGCAUAGAAUUUCAAGAAGCCACACUGUGGGCAAGCUGAGAAGAUGAUUUUGGUCAUGACCAGCAUACCAGUGCCAGUAGGACCCCACACCUGUUGGAGAUCUCAGUGAGCAUUAGGAGCUGUGACCAAGAACCUUCUAAUUACUCAAGACUGCAUGACUGUAAACUGUCAGAUGUCUGUUAGUAAUAAUAUGAUUCUUCAUUGAUCAUAGGCAAUUGAUAUCCAGUAAACAUUUGUUCCGUGAA